rnacentral:rRNA from 1 species
GUUGGCUUAGAAGCAGCCACCAUUUAAAGAGUGCGUAAUAGCUCACUAGUCGAGUGACCCUGCGCCGAAAAUGUACCGGGGCUAAACAUAUUACCGAAGCUGUGGAGUACACCUUUAGGUGUAUUGGUAGGAGAGCGUUCUAAGGGCGUUGAAGGCAGAUCGUGAGGACUGCUGGAGCGCUUAGAAGUGAGAAUGCCGGUAUGAGUAGCGAAAGACAGGUGAGAAUCCUGUCCACCGAAUGACUAAGGUUUCCUGGGGAAGGCUCGUCCGCCCAGGGUUAGUCGGGACCUAAGCCGAGGCCGACAGGCGUAGGCGAUGGAUAACAGGUUGAUAUUCCUGUACCCGUUGUUUUUGUUUGAGCAAUGGAGGGACGCAGGAGGCUAAGGAAUGCAGACGAUCGGAAAUGUCUGUCCAAGCAGUAAGUCUGAAGAGGAGUCAAAUGCUUCUUUUCUUAAGGACAAGCUGUGAUGGGGAGGGAAAUAAUAGUACCGAAG